AUGAGUUUUAACUGCAUUGUUUGCUCUGUUCUUGGGGUUGCAAGGGCUGUUUGUUUUGCUCUGCACUUCCGUUUGUUGUUGCAAUGACUUUGCAUUGUUUGCUCUGCUCCCUUUGCUCUGCACCCCCACGCAUUGGGAUGUUCUGACUGCGUUGUUUGCUCUGUUGCUCCAUCGCGUCGCGUCGGCCUCGCGAGGCUCAGAAAGGAAAGAAAUUAAACCAAAAUAACAACAAAGCAGCAAAAAAAACUCGCCUACAAUGUGAGGAAAUAGGAACCGCCGCCUUCCUGCCCCUGCUGCUGCUCCAUCACGUGUGUGUGUGUGUGUGUGUGUGUGUGUGUGUGUGUGCAGGGCAGGAAGCCGCAGUGGGACGCAGCUGUGCAGCAGGAGCAGCAGGAGCAGCAGGAGCAGGAGGUGCAGCCCGUCCUGCUGUGCUGCACAUGCAUCCCCCACCAGCAGCAGCAGCAGCAGCAGCUCCCAGCUGGGAGGAGGCCGGGCUGCAUUGCACAGAGCUGCAGGCUGCAAGAUGAACCUAACAUGCAUCGCAUGGGGCUGCAGCUGGUGCUGCAAGAUGAACCCAACAUGCAUCGCAUGGAGCUGCAGCUGGUGCUGCAAGAUGAACCCAACAUGCAUCGCACGGGGCUGCAGCUGGUGCUGCAAGAUGAACCCAACAUGCAUCGCACGGGGCUGCAGGCUGCAAGAUGAACCCAACAUGCAAUCGCACGGGGCUGCAGCUGGUGCUGCAAGAUGAAC
rnacentral:lncRNA from 1 species